rnacentral:sRNA from 2 species
GCGGAGACGCAUGUUUCCGUUCACUCCUCACACCACACUCCGCCCGGACUAUAUGUUCGGGCGGUU